CCUACGGGAUGCAGCAGUGAGGAAUAUUGGUCAAUGGUCGGGAGACUGAACCAGCCAAGCCGCGUGAGGGAUGAAGGUACAGAGUAUCGUAAACCUCUUUUGUCAGGGAACAAAGGCGGGGACGUGUCCCCGGAUGAGUGUACCUGAAGAAAAAGCAUCGACUAACUCCGUGCCAGCAGCCGCGGUAAUACGGAGGAUGCGAGCGUUAUCCGGAUUUAUUGGGUUUAAAGGGUGCGCAGGCGGUCUGUUAAGUGAGCGGUCACAGCCCGGGGCUCAACCCCGGCCCGACUUUGAACCUGGCAGGCUCGAGUUGGAGAGAAGUAUGCGGAAUGCGCGGUGUAGCGGUGAAAUGCA
rnacentral:rRNA from 1 species